rnacentral:rRNA from 1 species
UACCUGCAGCUCAAGUGGUGAUCAUUAUUAUUGGGCCUAAAACGUCCGUGGCCGGUUUAGUAAAUGCCUGGGUAAAUCGUGUAGCUUAACUAUACGACUUCCGGGUAGACUACUAAACUUGAGACCGGGAGAGGCUAGAGGUACUCCUGGGGUAGAGGUGAAAUUCUGUAAUCCUAGGGGGACCACCAGUGGCGAAGGCGUCUAGCUAGAACGGGUCUGACGGUGAGGGACGAAGCCCUGGGGCACAAACCGGAUUAGAUACCCGGGUAGUCCAGGGUGUAAACGCUGCUUGCUUGAUGUUAGUUGGGCUCCGAGCCCAACUAGUGUCGGAGAGAAGUUGUUAAGCAAGCUGCCUGGGAAGUACGGUCGCAAGGCUGAAACUUAAGGAAUUGGCGGGGAGCACAGCAACGGGUGGAGCGUGCGGUUU